UGAAUUUGUAUCAACAACCGUCAAAGGGUAUAUAUAACUGAGAUAAUUUCAAAAGUCUAAAAUAUAAAAUAUAAGAUAUAAAACAUAAAAUUAAAACUUAAAUUAUAUUUUUAAACUAAAUUGUUUUACUUACUGGAAAAAUUGGGAAAAGCGGAAGAACUUUAAGCUCCACGGGAAGAUCGUAAUAUAUAUAGAUAUAUAUUAUAUAUUUUGAUAUAUAAUACUCCAUCGGAUACAAUAAUACAUCUGGAUCUGUAUGGAACAAACAGUUAGACAAUGCAACAUUCGCAUAACUGCAAGGUAUACUAGCAAUUUUUUUUAUAUCUCAUAUAUAUUUAUAUAAUAAUAUAUAUUUCUCUCUCGUGUGUGCUUCCUGCGCGCUUCAUGAAGACUUUCGGUUAGAUAGGUCUUUCGAUUUCUGCGAGAAAAGAAGGUACAGCUCGUUUUGUGCAUUUUGUUCCGUACGAAAUUUUUUUUUCGUUUUUCGGUAUUCUCCGUUUUUUUUGCGUUUUUUUUCCUUUCUUUUUCGUCGUUUCAAGCCCCGCCGCACGCGGGACGUGUGUAUACGUGUGUGCAGUCGUGACGCGUCGCACAUUUUGCUGCCUAGUAGCCCUUUUAAACCUUCGGGAUAAAGUGUAAAAUGCCCGGGAGUGUCCUUCGAGGACGCGGACGGGCCGACAAAUGUCUCCAUUUACCCAUACGUGACCGAUCCCGAGGUUCUCGAAAUGGGAAACGUGAGUGGGAAGAUACGCGAAAUUAUUUCCGCGCGCGGGAACUUCCGCGCGACGUCGAUUCUCUCACUUAUCCUCACCGAGAGGAUAAAUUUAUUCCUCGCCGGAAAAUAUAAAUUGCAUACUUAAUUCUCUCCGACUUCUUCACAGUCAUUUUUUUCCCCUCCUCCACCCGUUACGAAAUGCUCGUUCGCCAAUUCCCUCCCUCCUCCACCCCUCUGCUUUAUCGCCGAGAGCCUAUCGCCCGAUUGCACCAGUUUGAUACUCGAGCGAUCGAUAGUGUUUGCCGCCGAAAUUCGACGCCCGACGAGGAGUCCUCGAGUUACACUUCGGUGACGGGGGAGAAGGAAUGAAAAAGGGCGCUCGGUGUGGUCCGCGGAUCCUUCUCGUGCGGCGACGGCUUUUACAACGGACUCUUAAUAUUCAUUUCAUGCAACAUUUAUCGCGGCGCGAUCGCGGUUCGCCGGGGGAAAAGUCGCGGGCUCCGACUUCGUGAUAUCCCGCUGAUAUAUUCAGCGCUUGGUUGAAAAACCGAAAUGCAAAUCGAUGCGGCAGGGUAAAUGCACCACUAAAUGACCGCUCUUAGGCAUGUCGCUUUAGCUCCGAUCUCUUUCUCUCUCCUUUGUCGAGCGAAAGUAAAAAUUUCGUCGCGUAAUUAUGCUUCAAAUGAUCCGUGUCUCAAAUGUUUGACGCUUCAUCGACGUUUCGCGCGCGAGUGGUAAAAUAUAAUGUGAAAUUUAUAACGAAAGAGAGAGGAGAGAUAAAACUGACAUUGCAAGGAAAUGAGAAGUAGUUCUAGUGAAUGAUCGCUUUGAUCUAUCACACUGUAGAGAGCCAAGGGAAGUGUGUGACAGCCUUGGAUUAAUAGCACAACGCGAUGCUUAGAUAAAAUCAACAUUCAUUUUUUUAAUGACUCCAUAUCAAUAAAUUAUUAAUUUGAUGGAAGGUUUUUCUUUUCCUGUGCUGUACCCAAUUAUCCGUCAGGCCGCUGGUCAUAUUGUAAUACGAAGAAAUAUUUCCGAAACGAUAAUUAGCUCUUUCUCUUUCGAAAACACAAAAUUGCUUCAAACAAUUGCGGAAGUAAGCGUGUGCAGUGAAUAUCUAUUGAUCAAUUAUUCAGUAGUGUACGUACCCUGCGAUUAAUUGAGGUGAAAAAUUGGAAUGAAAGAUUGCACUGCGAGGAAAAAAAAAAUUGCUCGGGGAAAAAUGGCGAUGUUCCCCUUUGUACAAAUAUUAUAUCAUAUACAAAUAAAUUACGUGUGCGGAUACGCCAUUAAAAUUUAUCCACGCAGUCGACGUAUAUACACAAAUGUAAUCGUUAAAUCGAUUAACUUGUUGCAUUAGUCGUGCAAUUUGUUGACCCAAAAUUUCCUCGGGGCAAGAUAAUUUCGUCCGCCCCAAUAAUUUCUUUUUUUUUUUUAUUCUUCUUCAGCGUAGUAUUGGAUAAUCACGACGAAGGUUUGCGAACCUCGUCGACGAUAGGAUGUCGCGAACCGCGGAAGCGCUAAUUACCUUACCUAAUUUGUCGAUCGAUUUUUAGUCUCUCGGUGAGAGUAAGGGUGCGCACACAUCGUUUCGUCGUGGUCGCACGCGACUUUCGCUCGAAAUCCUGUCUCGCGAUGGCCACGCACCCUCUCUCGUUCACGAUUUUUUUUUCUUUAUAUAUAUAUAUAUAUAUAUGUAUAUAUUCUCCGUUUUUUUUUUCGCUAUUGAACACACGUACUCUUUCUCCCUGAGGUAACGUAUUCGCCGGUCCCGGCGAGCGGAGAGCGAACCGCGGUAGCGUGACAUGAUGGAUCGCGUUUCUCGAAAUCCUCUCUUCGUAUUUAAAUACCUUAGCGGUAUAGAAUACUUUGGUGAUAGCGUGUCCUCUUCGAGCGUUACAAAACGUUAAUGUCGUAUCAAGAUGAACAGUGAUAUAUAAAUCUAAGAUGAAAGUAACUUUACGAAAAGCUUCAGCGUUCACCGUGUAUUUAUGGAAAGGAGGAAGAGAGAAAGAGAGAGAGAGAGAGAGAGAGAGAGAGAGAGAGAGGGGGAGAAACAGAGAGAGAAAGACUCCCUAUUAGAGACUUCUUGCGAUAGCGUGUUUCGAACAUGCUAAAUAUUAAUAUUGCGCCAAAGUCGCGUGUGUGGGGCGAAUGAUAAUUUAAGUCCAGAAUGGAAAUUGCCGUUUUGCGCGCCAAACGUGGGAGCCCGCGUGCGCUUGGCGUCACUCCGAAGUACGGUAUCGCAAAAACCUUCCUGUCUUCGUUGGAAAAUCGAUUUUCGCGACACGCCGUCGUUAUUUAUCGUCCGUUUAUCGUUCGUCCCGCAGGAAGUUUCUCUGCGUACGACGACGCGCAACGGUUAGUUUGAUUAUUCGUGGUACGGGGGUUAACGAAGUUAAUGACUGAUAGGGCGACUCGGUAAUGUGUAUCGUCCCUAAAAGGAAGCGGUACACAGCUGGACUGUACAUUGCCGAGGGAAGAACAAAGAUGAACGUUAUCGUCAUCGUUCCUUCUCGCGAUGCAGUUUCGCCUUUGUCUCGACCGGGCCGCACUCUAAUGAUCAUUUUCGAUUAAAGAAGAAAACGCGGACGAAAACCUCAGACAAGUAGGGCGCUAUUCUUGGCUCUCCGCACUACUUUUGCGCGAAACCGAGUCUGACAUUUUCCAAAUGCGUUCGCGAACGAUCUCGAAGCUGCAGCAACGAAUGUCUGCUAGGUAAUUCAUCUUUAAAUAUCCAUGGGAUCUUAAGCCGUAUAUGCGGAGUGCCCUAAUAAUGAAAAGUGGACGCUAUUUUGGUGGCAAACGCGGGGAUGUUGCGAUGGCAGUUAUUGGCGUGGAAAUAACGUACCGUUUUAAACGCGACUGCGUGUACGGCCGGCGUUAAUUUUUUUUUCCCCACUCGAAACAACUACGCCUUCGGCCUUCCAACGAAGCGUUUUUUUUUCUCUUUCAAUGGCUUACGUAAUUGGAACAAACGCGGUAAUGCAAUUUGCAUUGAUGAUGGAAAUUAACGUCUAUCAUUUUACGAGGAUUAUUAAACGAGAGAACUUUUCCGAGAAUAAUUGUAAUAAAUAAAAUACGACAGACGCGCGGGUUCUAAUGGAUUCGCAUCGCGUGUCACGCCUCUGGGAUUGUCUCCCCGUUAAGUCACGUGUCCUCCCGCAGUCGGUCGCGUUUCGUGUCGGUCGCGACCUUUUCCAAGGGUCAACAUCAACGAUAUCCGCGCGCCGGAUCCGAGCGUGGAGAGAGCAACAUGGGCGCGAAUCGUCCUCAGAGAGAAAUAGAGAUAGAUAAAGACGGCGAGGAAGAUACAGAGACGGAGAGGCCUUCUGCCUUCCCGAGACCUCCUAGGAAAUUGACAUUUGCGCGAAGGGCCCAUUACCCUAGAGACCACACUUUUUUUUUUCCACUGCCACUUACGAUAAGAGUAAAAAUUUAUACAAGUUUUCCCGUUGACGAUCGAAGAGUCCUGGCCGUUCUCUCGGAUAUUCGGUAUCAUCGAGGUUCGAAUCGGGCGUGCCGCUGAGAAUCCAACCAUUCGAAUUAUUAAUGAAUAAAGUAACUUUGUACUGUUUCACUCUUUGCACUCUUUCGCCUCGCUAGAAAUAAAAGACAACAAAGUACGAAACUACAAAGUAAAAAGUUAUAUACGGAACUCCUUCGUGGCACGUACAGGAAUAUGAGCGGAUAUUCUUUUCGAGUGAAUCUUCUCUGAAAAAAAGAAGAAUUGAAAAUUGAAAUUGAUAUCGGAAUUCGGAAAUGAUAAUAACGAUGACGAUAAAUGAUGGAAAUAAGGAUAAUAGGAUCGUCGUUAUUGAUCGUUUAAACGCGUCUUUAGUCGCGAAGAAAUUCAGAUUUGGAAGAUUGAUGGAAUCACCGGGAGUUUAUAAACGGCUAUCCUCUUCGGAUAGGCGUUUAGAAUCUAAUUCAGUUCGCGUAUGCCAUGACAAUCCUGUGAUCGAUCGGAGGAGUAUCAAUAAUUCCCGCGUGCCCUCUUUCUAUUUACGUGUCAUCUACGAUCACCGCGAUCGAUCUCGCGACGAACGCGAAACGAGGAACGCAAGUUGCGCAUGCUUUCAUAUUGAUAUAGUGUUAUUUUAGCAUGAAACAGGAAGAUGGCAAGAUAACAGAAUGUAAACGUCUCUAUUUACAUGCAAUCUCAAAUAUUUCUCGCGGCGAAUGUAUAUAAAAUUUCUGGACACGGUGUAAAAAAUCGUCGAGCAUCAGGAUUGGCAACUUUUCUCGGCGAUAUUCCGACAGAACUUUCGUCUAACUAACGUAUACAAAUUUGUAUCAGUUUAUUAACAGUAACAGCGAUAAGCAUGUUUCCCGAAAUUUUUCUAAUUUAAUUUUUGAUUAUCAAUUCCGAGAGAGAAAAAUUGUACGCAAACAGGAAAAAAAAGCUAUAAGUUGACAAGCUGAAAAUUGACAGAUAUUGUCAUUUUUCGCGAGUUACGAGCAACUCCGUGAGCAACAGCUGAAAAAUUGUGCGUCCAAUUAUGUGCGAAAUAUAAACGCAAUUUUUGACAAAUAUACCCGGCUCUUUAUCGACAGCUGGUUAUAUUUUAUCUGAAAUCAAUGAGAUGCGUUGGUGCCGAUCGUCGCUGACUGUCGCAGUUUUCUACGAGUUAAAUCAACAAACAGCAUAAAAACGUCAAUCUCGGUUGACAUAUUUCAUUAAAACGUCACUCGCCGCACACGUGGUACAUCAAAGUCCAGGUGCGUAUUACAUCGCGCGGAAGAACUCCUUCGCAAAAGUGAUGUGAUUUUCGAUUUUUUUUACACCGGUUUUUUUAAUGACAGAUUUUUCACGCACGAGCUUUCGACAGGCUUACGACGAAUUCGGCGAGAUUAGACACGUACAAAUUUUCGCACGGACGAUACGUAAUGGUCACAAGGGCGAGGUGACACCAACGAGUUGUUUUUACGAUUAAAUCGCGACCCCGUUCCAAGACAAUAGAUAUUUGCAUUCACAUGCACUCGGCCUCGCAUCGCGGGUGGGUAUCCUGCGUGACUUAUAUAAUCCAAGGCCGCCGCGAAUAAAAGGCAGUAGUCGGCGUCGAUUGACUGGUUGCACCGCCACCGCCGCUCUGCCACCGCGCUUGUAUCAAUUAUCGAGCGCAUAUUGGAAGUCGGAAACGCGUAUGAAAUCGGUCCCGAUGAGCCCGAAUCCCCGCUGCGAAUAUUCGCGGGGGCUUAAUGCGGGCAUAAAAUGUGGUAUCUCGCGCCGGCAGGCUCAACCUGCCGAGAGAGAGAGAGAGAGAGUAUCUCUUUGCGGGAAGAUACACCGCGGUUAUUAUCAAACUCGCGAAGUUCGUGUGAAUUGUUUCGGUAUAUCCGUCUCUCUCCCUCUCUCUCUCUCUCUCCGAGAUCCGAGCGAUGCGAUUUCGAAUUAACGGUGGUAAUUUGCGCGGUAUAUAUCGGCUAUAAUUGAUGGUAGGGCAUCGAUUCGCUCGAUUUGGAAAAGGAAGAAACCUCUCGGCGAGAUAAUCGAAUUGAGAUCAUUGAAUUACUGCAGAACGCAUGCCACACGGGUUGUUUCUGCAAACAUCGGCUAAAUGGAUUUGAGUGAUUCUUUCAAUUAAGUGCGAACCACGAUUCGCAACGUACGCGCAACGAUGCGUAAAUCUUUUGUCGUUUGUUCAUUGAACUUUAUAUGCGAUUUAUGUGUAUCGCAGAAGCUGGGAAUUUUUCAUCCUGCAAGAGAGUUACAAAUACCUCGAAAGUCGGGUAUUUUGCAUCCCUCGCGAGUAAAAGCAGUUUAAUAUUAUUAGAAGAAUGAAUAAUCGUUAUCCGUAAAGAGCCUUUGGCGUGAAAAAGCGCGUGAAAAGAGGAUUAAAUGGAAAACAUCUUUCCUUUUGCACGCUUGAUACCGUAAAUUCGUAGUUAAUUAUGUGGAUAUGCGCGACGCGCAUGAUGAAAGAAUCGCCGUUAUCUACGCAUUAAGUGGUUUUAUUAGCACUCGUGAGAAGUUAAUAAGAGUUCCCUUAGCGAUGUAAUGGACGCCCUUAAAUUGGCGCUGGUGUGCGGCGAAUAUUGGCGGCUGGUUGAACCUUAUUUUACUUGUAGUAGUAUCGUAAUAAAAACUUUUAUUUCGGCGUAUCCCGCUCUAACGAGGAGUAUUAUAUAGUUGACCAAAGUUACACGUUUUAGUAAUCCUCUUAAGAUCGGAUUCUUGCGGGAAAGGAGAGCCCUCCCACCGCCUUCCAUCUAAUUCUGUGUCUGAUCAAUAACGACGUGUGUCACUUUACGUUUUGCUCCUGUUAAACGUAUUAAAACUAGAGGAAGCUUACUCGUUGACGAAGGAAAAUAAAUAACAGACGGAUGUUUAAAAAGAAUCCAGUAAGCUUUUUUAGUUGGGUUUUUUUCUCAAAAUGCUGCGAAUGCUGUCACCACAUUUCAUGUGCAAGAUCAUAAGAAAUGGAACGCAAACUUUCAAUGAAACAAUAAAUGAAUAAUAACAGUAA